rnacentral:rRNA from 1 species
UACGUAGGGUGCAAGCGUUGUCCGGAAUUAUUGGGCGUAAAGAGCUCGUAGGCGGUUUGUCGCGUCUGCUGUGAAAACUCGGGGCUUAACCCCGGGCCUGCAGUGGGUACGGGCAGACUAGAGUGCGGUAGGGGAGACUGGAAUUCCUGGUGUAGCGGUGAAAUGCGCAGAUAUCAGGAGGAACACCGGUGGCGAAGGCAGGUCUCUGGGCCGUAACUGACGCUGAGGAGCGAAAGCAUGGGGAGCGAACAGG